rnacentral:rRNA from 1 species
GCUUACGGCCAUACCACCCUGAGCACCUGAUCUGUCUGAUCUCGGAAGCUAAGCACUGUCGGGCCUGGUUAGUACUUGAUGGGAGACCGCCUGGGAAUACCAGGUGCUGUAAGCU